AUUGAACGCUGGCGGCAUGCCUUACACAUGCAAGUCGAACGGCAGCACGGGUGCUUGCACCUGGUGGCGAGUGGCGAACGGGUGAGUAAUACAUCGGAACAUGUCCUGUAGUGGGGGAUAGCCCGGCGAAAGCCGGAUUAAUACCGCAUACGAUCUACGGAUGAAAGCGGGGGACCUUCGGGCCUCGCGCUAUAGGGUUGGCCGAUGGCUGAUUAGCUAGUUGGUGGGGUAAAGGCCUACCAAGGCGACGAUCAGUAGCUGGUCUGAGAGGACGACCAGCCACACUUGGACUGAGACAAGGCCCAGACUCCUAAGGGAGGCAGGAGUUGGGAAAUUUUGACAAAGGGCGAAAGCCUGAUCCAGCAAAGCCGCGGGUGUGAAGAAGGCCUUUGGGUUGGAAAGCACUUUUGUUCGGAAAGAAAACCUUGGCCCUAAUACGGGCGGGGGAUGACGGUACCGGAAGAAUAAGCACCGGCUAACUACGUG
rnacentral:rRNA from 1 species